rnacentral:lncRNA from 1 species
CUGUCGUCCUUUGCUUUGGGCUUUCAAGAUGUGCCCCUCUGUGACCAUUAUCCUGAAAUGCAGUUUUCUGCUUGGAAUUUGCAGGGUGCCAAAGGAGUGCCUGGACUGGGUGGCUUUAAAGGACGGGUUGGCUUACCUGGGAAGGUGGGCGUUGCUGGGCCACCUGGAGCCCAAGGACCACAGGGAGAACCAGGAACACAGGGGGAAAGAGGUCAAAGAGGAAAGCAACAGCGGUGCCCUCGGGGACCCCCAGGGAUGCCGGGCGACAGAGGCGAAAUGGGAGAAAAAGGCCCAGCUGGUAGGAAAGGAGAUAAAGGAGACCCCGGACUUUCUGUAAGUGUUUUGUUCUUUUAUUUAUUUGAGAGCUGAGAUGCUAAGAUUAAUUGGUUGACUUCUUCCUCCUCAAUAGCUUUUCCUAGAUGUGCUCCAAAUUCAUUCCAAUGUAUCUCUCACCCUAUUUACAUGUUCGCAAGGGGGAACUCGAAGGGAAGGUCUUAUGUACACACACACCCGAUAUUGCACAACAUGCCACAGUUCACAAGGGUGAGGAAACUGCUGUGUGCUUUUCCGUUUGCCAUAAUGGAAGCAUAAAGAACUGGAGGAAGUGGGAGGGAGAGCAGAAUGGGUGGAGAGCCGGGGGGGAACUUUUGAGGGGAGAGGGAAGGGCUGGGAAGUUCAUGGUAGUAGGUGGGGGUGAUUAAAUUUGAAUUCAGUAAGGAACAAAUCAGCUGACUGGAUAGCUCAGUGGUUUAGGCAUCUGGCCAUGGAGCCAAAGGUUGGUAGUUCGAUUCCCGACGGUGCCUCUUGUGAGUAGAACCAGCCUAGGUGGCCUUGGGCCAGCCGCACACAGACCCAGGAGAAGGAAAUGGGAAACUCUACUUAGACAACCCUGGAAGGAGUCGCCACCAAUCCGAAUCUAUGUACUUGACGGCACACAAUAAGAAACAAAUCACAAACGAUUUGCCAACUUUGGGUGACUGAAUUCCCGUCCACCUAAUUCACACAAGGAGAAAAGGGGAAGGAGAAAUGUGUUACAGUCGAUCACGGAAGGUGAAAUAAACUAGAAAACACUUGGAGGAAGGAAAAGAAC